rnacentral:rRNA from 1 species
UACGUAGGGUGCGAGCGUUAAUCGGAAUUACUGGGCGUAAAGCGUGCGCAGGCGGUUCGUUGUGUCCGAUGUGAAAGCCCCGGGCUUAACCUGGGAAUGGCAUUGGAAACUGGCGACCUUGAGUAUGGCAGAGGUGUGUGGAACUCCGAGUGUAGAGGUGAAAUUCGUAGAUAUUCGGAAGAACACCGAUGGCGAAGGCAGGUCUCUGGGCAUUAACUGACGCUGAGGAGGCGAAAGCAUGGGGAGCGAACAGG